UGAAAUUUAAAGAGCCGCAGUAUCCUGACUGUGCUAAGGUAGCAUAAUCAUUAGUCUUUUAAUUGGAGACUGGUAUGAAUGGUUAAACGAGAAAUCAACUUUUUUUGUUGUAAAGCUUGAAUUUAACUUUUUAGUGAAAAGGCUAAAAUUUUUCAAAAAGACGAGAAGACCCUAUAGAGUUUUAUAAUCAAGGGAAUAUUUCUUUCUUAGAUUUUUAUGAGAGGUAUUUACUGUAGUUAUUUUGUUGGGGCGACAUUUAGAUAUAAAAAACUCUUUAUUUUUAAAACUUUUAUGAAAGGUAAAUUGAUCCUUUAAAAAAGAUCAUAAGAAAAAAUUACCUUAGGGAUAACAGCGUAAUCUUUUUUGAGAGUUCUAAUCGACAAAAAGGUUUGCGACCUCGAUGUUGGACUAAAAUUAAGGCAGGGUGCAGCAGUUCUGCUAUAAGGUCUGUUCGACCUAUAAUUUUUUACACGAUCUGAGUUCAGACCGGCGUAAGCCAGGUUG
rnacentral:rRNA from 1 species